CCCAUCUAUCGUUUCAGCCGCCGCCGCCGCAAAAAAACUCCAUCGAUAACCAUCCUUGCUUGCCCACUCCCAUCGAUCGUUGCCACCGCUGCCGCCGCCGUCCGAGGGGGAGACGUCGCCGCCGCCGCUGCAAGGUAUGGCGGUUUGAAUCCCGCCCCGCCUCUGCAAGGCAGGGCGGUUUCAAUCCCACCGCCGCCGAACUCCGGGAAUCGCCGCCGCCAAGUCUCCAGGGAGGGCGGUUUCAACUGCCGACGAACUCCGGGAUACGCAUAAUCGUCGCUGCCGCCCCCUCCCCCGGCUGCCCCAUGGUCUUCUAUCUCUCCCAACUCCGCUGUCGCGCCCCGUCUUCCGUCUCUGCAUGAAUUGCUGUUGUGGCAGCCACUCCCCAUGGCGGCCAUCCGGGCACACCGUGUCCGGGAUGAUGGAGGUGAUGUCCGCCAGUUCCCUGUUUCCGUUGGCAUCUUCUGCGAUGGGACCCGUGGGGGCAGGUCGCGCGCUGCUCAUCUGCGUCGAUGGCGUCGGCGUCGUCCUUCCCCUGCAAAGCAUGGCGGCUCCUUGGCUGGAUCACAGUGAUGAUACAGUUGGCUCGGCGGCGACUAGAGAUCUCGCAGGCUGGCGUUUAUUUGAUGUCUGGGUGUUCCAAUCGUGAAGGAACGGACGUAUAAUGUACGGUAUAAGAAUUUGGACGAGGCUCAUCUGCGUGGAUGGUUGUGGCUUGGCCGCCGGGCACACAAUCCAUUUAUUCACACAUAAGACCGUAGCCAUCUACACCAAGACUCCUCUGCCCUACGGAGUCUUGCAAGCGAUCGUCGUAAGAAAUAUUCCGUGUGAUGCCGGCAUGUGUUGUUGUUGCAUUGUCGCAACCAUCCAUCUACACACCAAAUGUCAAAACCGAGUCGCGGUGUUCACAAUGCUGGGCAUUAUUUAUAUCGAAAGACGAGGAGGAAGAUUUGGAUGACCGUAACCACAAUGGCAAGGGCAGCAACAUGGUCAUCACCUACAAUGCCGUUGGGUGCUGACAUUAUGAUGUUUGGUUUAUUUGUUGAAAGUUACAGCCCAUGUUUCAUGAUUUAUUUGUCACCGGUUAAUCAUGAUAUUUUGAAGUGCUCUGACAAUUGCUUGCUGUCUGCAUCUCUUACUUUUCAACUUGCUGCAUAUAAAGAUAUACACCAUUAGAAUCUGUUUGUACAAUAUAUUUACUUAUUCAACAUGCUUCAGUUAUGCUUCUUUGAAAAUCCAGUUGUAGAUUGCAGUGAAGCCCCAUUUAGAUCUUGGCUAUAGUAUUAUUCUUGUCUUAUGACUCGUGACAGAUUGAUAUGUGAUACCAUGACAUAGCAUAUGUGCUACCGUGGUAGUCACAUUUGGUGGUAGUUCUGAUUGUUUGCUAGAUUACGAGAUAAGACCAAGUGCUUCUGCAACUCGGUUGCGGUUUUGAUAGGAACAUGAAGACUUGUGAUGCCAUGGAGCAUGUUUGAUUAAAAGGAGUAAGUCAACAUACAACUUGUUUCUUAUGUUUUAUUUAGAGAAAAUGAUUGUUCCUUGUGAGUCAUUUUCUUCUACAAAUGCACCAUAGUUGCUCCAAUAUAUUGAGCAGGGAAGAAGUUUGUUACAAGUGUUUUAUAGAGUUGACGCCAGAGACAUCCGACGGGAUACAUUGGUGAAGGAAUCGAUGAAGAAGCUUCCGUUCAGCAUGGUAUCUCAAUGGAAGAAUAUCCGAAGCAAACCUCCGCUACUUCUCUGUUCCCUUUCAUUUGUCGUGGGAAGACCUUAGGAAGGUAGGAAGACCUUAGGAAGAGUGGGUGGGAGGAAGAGAGGCCUGUGCUAUAGAUGUAGGGGAACAAUGGUCCUUGGAAAUUAUUAGUACUCUACAAAAUGUCUAUCCCCUAUGAUGCCUACAAUGAGCGAGAGAGGGUGGAAGGAAGGGAGAGCGGAGGAAGGAAGAUGGGGAUAUAUGUAGAGAGGGAGAUAGGAGGAAGGGAGAUUGGCAUAUAUGUAGAGAGAGGAAGAUCAGAUAGGGAGGGGAGAUUUACAGGACGAUUGUCGUUGAGCCACUCAAAUAUGUAUGUCUCUAUUGCAUCGCACGGGCAAUUAACUAUAGAAAAAUUCAAGGCUAUUUUUUAAAGUGACAUUUAUUCAGCAUGUUCCAACCUUUACAUGCCUUAAUUAUAGAAUAAUCUAAUAUUAUGAUUUCUCCAGUAAGCAGUAUACUAUAUACUUAACUGGGACUUUGAAUUUUUGCUUUAGGAAAAUUUGAAUAGACCUCGUCCAUGCCGAUAAUUUCCUCGUACAUCAGGUUGAACGAUUUUGUUUAUGUUGUGAGUGGUCAAUAUUCCUUACCGCUGGCCACAUAUCUCACUUGUGCUGGACCCCUAGAAUAUGCUAAUGUUUACUUUCCAAUUUUCCAACUAUCAAAUAUCAGUGGACUUUACAUGGUUUCUUUCAAAAAAAAGACUCAUAUGGCCCGAGUUUGUUUGCUCAGGAGCAUUCUUUCAUAGAUUAUAAUAGUCAGUGGCUUAAAAGUAUUGUCAUUGCUACAAACAUAAAACUGAUGAAAGAAGAACAUAUUUGUACCUUAUUGGCGGCUGACUAUACACACAAGAACCUCGACACUCUCAUUACUGUGUUAUAUAUUUAGUUGCAAUAGUAUUUGAUUUUUCAUGAAGCAAUAUGCUUACUGUUUCUUCAUUCAGUUUCGUGUUUCAAUGACGCGUGGAGGACGACGGUCACGAGCGCAUUGUCGCAAGCUCACAUGAGGGAGGCACACAUCUCAUCCAAUAUAAAAGCAUGCUCCGAAGAAUCCCUAACCUCCAUGGAGCCAUUGCUAGGGGGCGACGAGAUCAACGCCACCCAUCACGACCACCGAGAUGUAGAAGGGACUCGACAUUGUGGUCGGCGGUGCAUGGUGCAGUGCGGUGAUUUCUUGCCUGGCGUAUAACAAUGUGUGUUCAAUGGGUCGCCUCUUCUCACGCACAAGUCUCAGAGGGAGACAACGGCCGCUAUUCAGAAUAACCACAACAAAUUUGUGACACAGGUGGUUAGUGGGAGAAGGAACCUGAUACCGCAGCCGAUUCUGCAGCAAGGGUGGGCUUCGUGACUGAGCUGGCAAAUAAAAUGUCAGUGGUGGAAACGGACAUGUUAUAGAAGAUGUUGAGGGUGGCACCGGAGUUAAUGGCCAAAUGGGGUUCCUCGGCACCGAAAAGAAGGAUGCUGUAGCGACACGUACUGGGUUCCAUUUCCAACCAGAGAAGAACUUAUGAAUGGUAUGUGCGUGAUCCAUUCAUUCUUUUGUUUGAUCCUUAUUCCCCUCAACUCAGAUUCAUUUUAAUUUGUACUUAUGCAUGAUUUUGAUGGAUCAAUAAAUUUAGUGGCAUUAAUUGCAAUGUGAAAUAUCAUAUAUCCAUAAACUUCACAUUGUUGUUGCUACGAGUCUGCUGGUCAGCUACUUCCAGUUAUCCUCAUCGAGAGUUGAUUGUCGGAUUUCACCAAGAAAUAAAAACAGAGGAAAACCCGCCGGUCUUACUACCGAUAGCAUCAAACAAGAAUAUGGGCACUAGAAAGGACACGAUCCUAUCCACUAUCACAAUGAAACAAGAGAAACAAUUCCUUGCAGUCAUCUAUAAGGUCAGCAUGUUGGGGCUUGGUUGACUCAUUUAUAUUGCUAUUUCUAUCCACACGUAAAAGGAUCUACGUAUCCACAAUUAAUUUGCUUACCCAUGUGAGUUUGGGGAUAUUUUUUCUCUUGUUAGGAUGCAUGUCAGAUUUAAAUUCUCUGAUAUCUAUGUAUGUAGUGUAAUUUUUAUUUUGUAAAAACCUACUACCAGUCCACGCAUGAAGGUGCACUUAAUUUCUUAGUAUUUCUACGUGCAUUAUCUCUCUUUAAUUUACUUAGUAAUAGUAUUUUGUUAUUUGGGUCUGAAGAUACCAAUAUUGCAAAAAGUAAAUAAUUUGGGAGGAAAGUGAUUUGAACUUUAUACUGUUAAGGACAGUAAACCAAAUUGAUUUGUAUAGAGGCGUGAAUAAUCAAACCGAAAAAGGGGAGUUGAUUAGUAAGAGACAUCUAGGAUGUUUCAAAUUCUGCCGAAAAUCUCAAUAUAAAUAUGUCUAGAUGUGUUAAAAUUUGUUAACUGAAUUUCUGGUAAUAUAAUUAGUACUACUCCCUCUGUUUCUAAAUAUAAGUCUUUUUUAGAUAUUCCACUGCGGACUACAUACGAAGCAAAAUGAGUGAAUCUACACUCUAAAAUAUGUCUAUAUACAUUCGUAUGUAGUUUGUAUUGAAAUCCAUAGAAAGACUUAUAUUUAGAACGGAGGGAGUAUAUGUUUUGGUGGAUAAAAAUUCUUUUAAAUACACUAUAUAUACUGUGUACUAAAUGGUGGAAUCGUUGGCCGCCUGCCAGCCUCGACUGACAUAGAGAGGGAGAACACCCUAGAUCGGAUGCUCGCGCAUUUGCGCCUCACCAAGGUUCACUGCCUCGCAUGCUUCCUAGGCCGAACUGAGAUGCCGUCUCGAGCCACUGCAUUCUCGAAAAAAAUCUCAGAUGCCAUUGUUCCAUUGACCUGAUUCUGAUUGUUUUGUAGACUAAAAUCGUGUUUUGAAAUUAUAUUCAUCAAUUGAGAGACACUUUCCAAUGUGCUAAGAUGUGCAGCUCAACAUCAUAGGAUUGUCACAUCUUGAAUUCUGGUUCUUAGAGCUUUGGUUUUUAAGUUCUAACCCUUAUUUGCUUGUCUUGUCUUUUGUUUUACGGGUUUCAAGCUUCAGCACAAAUCUUCUGUAGGAAAUCUUGUACUCAUAGUGUAGAAAAAUGCCGUUUUUGUGAAAUGUCACAGGAGCUACAUUACUAACAUUGUUGUAAUGUUUGUAUGGUAGCCUAUUCUUUAAUCCGUUCAAUUACAGAGUUUAUGAUUAUGUAAAUGGAGUAUGGGAUUUGAGAAGAAGAAAAAGGUAAUAGUACUUUCGUUCACAGGCAGAUUCGACAUAUCCUCGUUUACUUCCCCCGUGUCUUCUGACUGACUCCUUAAAUCAUCAACAUGUGUGUAUAUAUAGUUGCAUCCGAUUCAAGGAAGAUAAUGGACAAGUGCAUUGGUAUGAACAGGUCGUCGACUUUGACAGAAAAUGCAUACAGAUUAUCAGUUUUCCUGCUGAGUUGUACUAUUAUGCUACAGAAUACACAUCAGCUAUUAUGCUACAGAAUACGCAUAAUUAGUUACAGAUCAGUAGGCUACUCAUCUGGUUAGUUUUCUCAAGUCAUUUCUUCUGUGUGUAUAUAUGUUAUUUUCCUUUUUACACUAACAAGAGUUUCGUGCUUUCUGGUAUGGUGUGGUGCUCCCCCCUUCAUUUAGUGAGUUCUUCCUUAAUGGAGGAUAUGGUAUAGGUAAUAGUGAGUGGUGUUCUAGCUUAUGCACUAUUUCCCCCUGGCCCGAGUUCCACACCAUAACAUGCUGCCGCCCCGGCUGCCGCGUCUGCCACGGCGCCGACGCCUCCCUGGCUCGCGGGACAUCCCCUCUAUAUAUUGUAACAGACUCGCAUGAAUACAAUUGAGUUGCAUCCUAUAAUCUUCUACAUGCGUCAUCUGGUUUUAAUGGACAGGUUCCAGCAAAAAAUGUCACGCUAUAGGGAAAGCGAGUGGGAAGGGUGUGUUGUAGGGUGGAAUUCUUGUGUUGGAACAACGUGUUGGAGAUAACAUGGUGAAUAGUCCGUACAACUACAUUUCUUCCCCACAUAUGAGUUGGAUUUGGGGGAGCCCAGACGGUCGAAUUUGGGGAGUCUGCUGGGCACCCAUUUGAACACGGCCGAAUGUAUGAGGGAGAAAUGAGCUUC